rnacentral:lncRNA from 1 species
GUACCAACUUGAUAGCGCGUGAUUUCAUCGUUGGUAUUGGAUGUUUGGAUACCAAAAACCGCCAUGUCGCUCUCUUUCGUGACAUAUUUGCAAAUGUAUUUAAUUGACUUGACACAAUUGCAAUCACUUGGCAUGCGCUCUAAAGCAGUCUUGAACAGCCUGACCAAUGCAUGAUGUUCAUGAAGCAUUUGCUGUAGAUCUUGGAGAAUUGCUCUCUUCGUAGCUGUGUUGAUCCCUUGACGCCUGUCAAGUUGUUCUUCCAUAUUGCCCAUAUUGCAAGAAUUUAUGCUGUGCGUCUUCUAUUGGUUGCAAUGAUCCAAUGCGAUGGUAAUCGGAUUUUCAUUCAAGCACUUUGUGGUAAACGAUAUUCUUUGUUUUUUGGUCAGGCGCAAGAACAAAUAAAGCGGAUGGUUUGCCGACACGUGAGCAUGCCUCGUACAAUUGACCAUGAGAAAAACAUUCAUUUUCUAGAUUGAGGCCACAAAUAGUCAAGGAUUGGCCGUGGGAUUUGUUGAUCGUCAUGGCUAAGGCAAGACGAAUCGGGAAUUGAAUUCGUUUAAACUCAAAGGGCAUACCCGUUAGGAUCAUCGGAAUCCUUGGAAUAAGAACUUCCUCAUCUUUAAAUUUUCCUUUAAGUAUCGACGCGUGAAUCACAUUGCUCAUCAGUUUUCUUAUCACCAAACGCGUUCCAUUGCAAGGUUUUGGUUGGUUUACCUUUCUAAGCAUGAUGACGACAACUUUAAGUUUUAAAUUGUGCGGUGGUAAACCAGGCACAUCCAAGGAGUUUAAAAAUUCAGUUGGAUAAUUAGUGGCUUCUUCUUCGUUUGUUACACAGUCGAUAGAUUUGAAUGAAUAUAAGUACCUACGAUUUGAUUUUGAAUUAUAAGAUUGAGGUCAUCUACAUCUUUAUUUUUAGCGGCCAAAAUUGUUCGCUCACUUAACCACUUAGUAUUUUUGUGGUUAGCAAUGAUAUCCGGGAAUACGUUGUUGAUAAGCUCGUCUUUUGAUGAUACGAAAUCGCAAAAAUUUGGAGGAAAUGAAAUCAAACCGCUCGAUUUGUUAACAGGAACACGGCCAUUACCGAUAGUCAGAAAUUGAUUCGAGAAAUCAUCAGCAGAUAGAUCGUUCAACAAUGCAACUCCCAUAUUUACAGACAGUUGAAGUUUCU